AGGUCUGAGACUGGGUCCACCCAUGGUCCUAACUAGGGCCUCCCUAAGUAGGGAGGUGAGUUCCCAGAGAGCAGAGCUCCAUGCUUGGGCAGACUAGGCAUGAAAGGACACAAGUGGGCCAGUGCCUCCCUCACCGGAGCUUGGAACAGAGUCUAGUAGCCUGAAGUGAGAACCGGAUUCA
rnacentral:lncRNA from 1 species